AUUGAACGCUGGCGGCAGGCCUAACACAUGCAAGUCGAGCGGAGCGGCGGACGGGUGAGUACUGCCUAGGAAUCUGCCUGGUAGUGGGUGAUAACGUCCGGAAACUGGCACUAAUACCGCAUACUCUCAGAUGAGCCUAGGUCGGAUUAGCUGGUUGGUGGGGUAAAGGCCUACCAAGGCGACGAUCCGUAACUGGGCUGAGAGGAUGAUCAGUCACACUGGAACUGAGACACGGUCCAGACUCCUACGGGAGGCAGCAGGGGGGAAUAUUGGACAAUGGGCGAAAGCCUGAGCCAGACAUGCCGCGGGGGUGAAGAAGGUCUUCGGAUUGUAAAGCACUUUAAGUUGGGAGGCGUUACCAACAGAAUAAGCACCGGCUAACUUCGUGCCAGCAGCCGCGGUAAUAC
rnacentral:rRNA from 1 species